CGCAGAGCCGAGGCGGGAGGUGGAAAGAGCACCGCGUGGGAGAUUACAGGUAUGAGCAGCAGAUGAUGGUGGUGAUUUAAGAUAGCUAAGCUGUUCUGUCUUUGCUUCUGCCUCUGACCUUGGUCUUUGAGCUCACAGAGCUGGGCAGCUGGAGGUAUGAAAGCCAGCCAUAAACUCCUGCUUGAAUGUGGGCACCUGCGGGU